rnacentral:lncRNA from 1 species
GGAAACCGAAACAAUGUCAUUUCCCCCCAGAAGUCGGCGUGGCUCAGCUCAGUCCAGUUCACAACAAAUAUGAAAUCCCUGCCCUACAGGACCAGGCCUCAGGAAGGGCUUGGGGGCCUCAGAGGCAAAUGAGACCAGGUCCAUCAACCAUACAGAACUGACAACCUGGACUCCCCACUCUGAAGUAGGCAGACUGCCUGAGGGAGGGGGCCUCCCUCAUGGGGAGAGGGCAGGCGCUGACCUCCCGGGCCCUCCAGCAUUCUCUGGGUCCUGGCCCCGAGAUUCUGGUUUUCCACACAGGGCACCUACUGUCUCACCCUUCCCUGACUCUGCCCGUGCACAAGGUGACCCCGGCUGCAAGCGUGCCAGGAGCUUUUCUCCACCUCUGCCUCAACAUCUGCCGCCUCUCCUCCUCUGGAGAGGGAGGCAGCUGAAGGACACCAGCCCCACGCCUUGCUGGAGCAGCUGAGAUCGCUGGGAGGAGACCUAGGACCCUACGAGAGGAGGGAUCUGGAGGCCAGGACAGGAGCAGGACAACACAAACAGAGGCCUCAGAAGAAGACUCAGAGUGGGACAGGGGUUCCUUAAGUGACGGGGGCUGGAAGUGCACAGAGAAGCCUGGUGCAGCAGGGAAUUUUCUCUCCCUGGGGUGCUGCCAAGGUAUGUGUGGUCUCCAGCUGCG